CAAAGCCUUGGAUGCUUCAGGUUUUCUCCAAACUUUAUAUCCCUGACUCAUUAAACACCAGGAGUCUGGUUCCACCUAAUUCUUUGUCGCUACAGAGCCUGAUUAGUAGGAAUAAUUUCUUUGAAGAAC